UACGUAGGGGGCAAGCGUUGUCCGGAAUCAUUGGGCGUAAAGAGCGUGUAGGCGGCCCGAUAAGUCCGCCGUGAAAGUCCAGGGCUCAACCCUGGAAUGCCGGUGGAAACUGUCGGGCUAGAGUCCGGAAGAGGCGAGUGGAAUUCCUGGUGUAGCGGUGAAAUGCGCAGAUAUCAGGAGGAACACCAAUGGCGAAGGCAGCUCGCUGGGACGGUACUGACGCUGAGGCGCGAAAGCUAGGGGAGCAAACAGG
rnacentral:rRNA from 1 species